CCGCCUGGGAAGUACGAACGCAAGUUUAAAACUCAAAGGAAUAGACGGGGACUCGCACAAGCGGUGGAGCAUGUGGUUCAAUUCGAUGGUAAACGAAAAACCUCACCAGGGCUUGAAAUUCCGACGAUAAGUCCCGUGAAAGCGGGAUGUCUCACAAGGACGUCGGAACAGGUGCUGCAUGGCUGUCGUCAGUUCGUGGCUUGAGCUGUUCCCUUAAGUGGGGUAACGAACGCAACCCCUGCCCCGUGUUAUACGUGUCACGGGGGACUACUCUGAUUUUCGGAGGGGAAGGUGGGGAUGACGCCAAGUCAGCAUGGCCCUCUGAUGCCCUGGGCUACACACGUGCUACAAUGGGACGUACAAUGGGCCGCAAUACCGAGAGGUGGAGCUAAUCCCUUAAAACGUCCCCCAGUUCAGAUUGAGGUCUGCAACUCGACCUCAUGAAGACGGAAUCGCUAGUAAUCGCAGGUCAGCUAUACUGCGGUGAAUACGUUCUCGAGUCUUGUACUCACAAAUAAAUGCGCCCGGCAGCGCAUAGUUCUAAGUGGUUAAAAUCCACUCUUUA
rnacentral:ncRNA from 1 species